UACGUAGGGGGCUAGCGUUGUCCGGAAUCAUUGGGCGUAAAGCGCGUGUAGGCGGUCCGGUAAGUCCGCUGUGAAAGUCGGGGGCUCAACCCUCGAAUGCCGGUGGAUACUGUCGGGCUAGAGUGCGGAAGAGGCGAGUGGAAUUCCUGGUGUAGCGGUGAAAUGCGCAGAUAUCAGGAGAAACACCAAUUGCGAAGGCAGCUCGCUGGGACGUUACUGACGCUGAGACGCGAAAGCGUGGGGAGCAAACAGG
rnacentral:rRNA from 1 species